rnacentral:lncRNA from 1 species
UUUGAAUCCUCAAUCCGGGUUGAGAGAUAGAGAGAGUUAGAGAGAUCGGUUGUGUUUGUUUAGAUAGAGAGAGUUAGAGAGAUCGGUUGUGUUUGUUUGCUUCGGACGAGGAGGUAGAGAGAUAGAUCGGAGGAAAAGUUUGAAUCUUCAAUCCGUGUUCUAUGCAAACGAUUAUUUGUAUUGUUCAGUUGCUGCUUUUCUUGGUCUGUAUUGAGAUUGGUCAUUGUGUGGACUUACUGGAAGGAUAUGCACUGAGCAUCAAGGGAAAGCAUUAGAAAGGGGUACGGUUGAAGGAGCUUUUGGUCUCUUCUGCAUCUGCAGAGAUACUGUGUGCACUUUAUCAAAAUAAACUUAGCUCAUCAAAACGCAGUUUUCAAAAGGCUUCCUAAAACUGAUGCAUCUACCUUUUGAAGGGAGCUCCAAGGGGAAGGACACUACAAUCAGAGACCAAGUUUCAGUGCUAUGCAACCAUGAAAAACUUUGGAUAUUACCCUGCAUUGACACCUGAUGAGGUCAAGGAGCGGGUAGCACUAGCAAGGAAGGCACAAAAAACAUAGGCAAAGACGCAUGUUUCUUCGGAUUACUCUCAAGUAUAUAAUAGAACACCCAUACCUUAUAUGUGAGUUCAGUUAGAAAGAAAACAAUUGAUGCAUUUGUACUACCCGCUGCAAAGCGCGGGCUCUGUAACUAGUUCCAAUGAAUUCCGAAAAUAAAAUGAAAGUUUCUGCAGAUCGCAGUUUAUUUAUGUGGACUCUAAUUUGAGCGUGCCGCAUGUUC